UGGGGAAUAUUGCACAAUGGACGAAAGUCUGAUGCAGCAACGCCGCGUGGAGGAUGACACAUUUCGGUGCGUAAACUCCUUUUAUAUAGGAAGAUAAUGACGGUACUAUAUGAAUAAGCACCGGCUAACUCCGUGCCAGCAGCCGCGGUAAUACGGAGGGUGCAAGCGUUACUCGGAAUCACUGGGCGUAAAGAGCGUGUAGGCGGGUAUAUAAGUCAGAAGUGAAAUCCAAUAGCUCAACUAUUGAACUGCUUUUGAAACUGUAUACCUAGAAUGUGGGAGAGGUAGAUGGAAUUUCUGGUGUAGGGGUAAAAUCCGUAGAGAUCAGAAGGAAUACCGAUUGCGAAGGC
rnacentral:rRNA from 1 species